CUUACAAAUUGGUGCAUUCACCUUAUAAUAUCCAGUGGAACAACCACUUUACAAUAUGAUCUAAAGCUAACUGUCUUUAACAUAUUUUAUUUUGUAUCAUUAUUGCCGGCAAUUCGAUUUUUAAAACUAACAAACUAACUUGUCUGUCUGAGAAAAAUAUUUAUCUUCGACUUUUUGUUUCACCUUUUUUACAGCUGCACAAAGUUUAACUACAAAAACCCUGCAUUUGUAGUGGAGAGUUUGAUGAUCUCUAAAAUGUAGAAGGGUUUUCAUAUUUCAUUUAUGUUAGGUGAGUCAUGUUUAAUAAUAUGCAAGAGCAGCGAAGGAAAGGAAGGAACGGAGGAGAGAAGAAGCGAGUUCACACUACUCGGACUGAUCAGUUUACCUUGAAUGCUCUGACUGGUACCUAAAUGUCAGCGCCCGUUCAGAUGAACCGCGUGCUUUGCUUGAAGUGCAUAACAUUGAACGUGUGUAGGCUGAGAAUGCAGUUGCUGUUUUUAAACUAACGUUUUUAUAUAGCCUAACUUUGAAAUUAACCGUUUGAUCAUGCCUCCUAAAAAAAAGCAGCAGCCGCCGAAGAAGUAACGGCUAUUUGGUUAGAUUACGGUUGAUACAUUUGUCAAUUUCAUUGUUAGAAUCCAACAAGCACCUGCUGUGGCACGGAAAACUCCUCUUCAUCCACCUACGAUGGUGAUGGUUAAAGAAGCGAGUUGGACUCUCGAAUGGUCUCAUCGCAGGCCAUUCGCGGCUACAUAACAGAGAAAUAUCCAUCUGUGGACCUGAUGAGGUUGAAGUACAUGACACACAAGACCCCCAAAAAAGGAACCGAGGGCGGGGUAUUGGUGAGGACACCAACUCGAUAGCAAACGGCGCACAGGGGAGGUUUCGGGUCGAGGGGAAAGACCAUGAUGGUGCCAUGUGACACGGAGUACCCUGCCUUCGUCUCUGAGCGUACCAUCGAAGAGACCACGGGAAACAUCGACUGUGAGGGCUGUGCCAGAUCUUUUGUAAUUCAGCAGAUUCCCAGCAGUAAUCUCUUCAUGGUUGUCGUGGACAACAAGUGUGACUGCAGCUCUGCCCCCCUGGUUUCCAUGGAUCCCAUUG